rnacentral:rRNA from 1 species
AUUGAACGCUGGCGGCAUGAUUUACACAUGCAAGUCGAACGGUAACAGGCCGCAAGGUGCUGACGAGUGGCGAACGGGUGAGUAAUGCAUCGGAACGUGCCCAGUCGUGGGGGAUAACUACUCGAAAGAGUAGCUAAUACCGCAUACGAUCUAUGGAUGAAAGCGGGGGACCGUAAGGCCUCGCGCGAUUGGAGCGGCCGAUGUCAGAUUAGGUAGUUGGUGGGGUAAAGGCUCACCAAGCCAACGAUCUGUAGCUGGUCUGAGAGGACGACCAGCCACACUGGGACUGAGACACGGCCCAGACUCCUACGGGAGGCAGCAGUGGGGAAUUUUGGACAAUGGGCGCAAGCCUGAUCCAGCAAUGCCGCGUGCAGGAAGAAGGCCUUCGGGUUGUAAACUGCUUUUGUACGGAACGAAACGGCUCUGGUUAAUACCCGGGGCUAAUGACGGUACCGUAAGAAUAAGCACCGGCUAACUACGCG